rnacentral:rRNA from 1 species
ACUGCUCAGUAACACGUGGAUAACCUGCCCUUGGGUCCGGCAUAACCCCGGGAAACUGGGGAUAAUUCCGGAUAACGCAUAUAUGCUGGAAUGCUUUCUGCGUAAAAUGGAUUCGUCUGCCCAAGGAUGGGUCUGCGGCCUAUCAGGUAGUAGUGGGUGUAAUGUACCUACUAGCCUACGACGGGUACGGGUUGUGAGAGCAAGAGCCCGGAGAUGGAUUCUGAGACAUGAAUCCAGGCCCUACGGGGCGCAGCAGGCGCGAAAACUUUACAAUGCGGGAAACCGUGAUAAGGGGUCACCGAGUGCCAGCAUCAUAUGCUGGCUGUCCGGGUGUGUGAAAUACACCUGUUAGCAAGGGCCGGGCAAGACCGGUGCCAGCCGCCGCGGUAACACCGGCGGCCCGAGUGGUGAUCGUGAUUAUUGGGUCUAAAGGGUCCGUAGCCGGUUUGGUCAGUCCUCCGGGAAAUCUGAUAGCUCAACUAUUAGGCUUUCGGAGGAUACUGCCAGACUUGGAACCGGGAGAGGUAAGAGGUACUACAGGGGUAGGAGUGAAAUCUUGUAAUCCCUGUGGGACCACCUGUGGCGAAGGCGUCUUACCAGAACGGGUUCGACGGUGAGGGACGAAAGCUGGGGGCACGAACCGGAUUAGAUACCCGGGUAGUCCCAGCCGUAAACGAUGCUCGCUAGGUGUCAGGCAUGGCGCGACCGUGUCUGGUGCCGCAGGGAAGCCGUGAAGCGAGCCACCUGGGAAGUACGGCCGCAAGGCUGAAACUUAAAGGAAUUGGCGGGGGAGCAC